GGCAGCGCCCAUGGGCUGCGGCAACUCCACGGCCGGCGGCGCGGGCGGGCGAGGUGCCACGGGGACCACUAAAGAUGUAGCAGAAGAAUCUGUAUCAGAUGAUGACAAAAGGAGGAACUACGGUGGUGUGUAUGUUGGCCUGCCAUCGGAUGCGGCUGCCAUGGUUUCCAGUCAGACAAAAGCUGCACCGAAAGAUUAGAAGGAAAUAAACACAUCAAGAUGCAGACAGCCGGAGUCUUCUACUAAGACAAGUUGCCAGUGCUUUAGGGAGAGCUGUCUUUGUGGUGAAGAUUUUUAUACUUACCUAGCGUUCUGGAGAGCAAGAGAGACCACAGCACCAAAAAAAUCUAAACUCUUGCAAGUUCCAACUACGGGUAAAGCUUAAAAUACAGCGUUGAAUCAGUUUCCUAUGGUGGUUGCAUAUGGAAACAUCCUGCUCUUCUCCAGUGAAAAAUGAAAUUAGUAAACUCAUGGUGGAUGUUUCUGCACAAGAGCUAACUUUGAUGAUCUGCAACUUACUUCUCUGUGGCCAUAUUGCAGAUUGCAUUAGCUAUCAGCUACGCUUCGUAUAUUUUCUCCAACAAUUUUUGAUAGAUUUUAUAUAGACAACCAUUACUACUGUCCACUUAUAGGAACCUACCAUAAGAGCUAUUAAAUUAAUUGUUAAUUUACUUCAGAGUAAUAUAUUUGACAGGUUUGCAUCUUUUUGGUAAUAUUGCAAAUUUUAAUAUUUUUGCUGUGAAAACUUAAGAAUAGGAGAAAAUAAUCAUAAGACCAACAGGUUCUUUAUAAUUACUACUGUCACUUUUAUACAGUGAGACAAAUACUAGUGGUUAAUUUUCACAUCUUAAGAAGAUAUUCCUCAAGGAAAUUUAUUUAAAUAAGAACAAUGUACUUCAUCAUAAUAUAUACAUGUCUGGGUUUGGUUUUUUUUAUCAUAUCUCUUUUAUAAAAAACAUUACGUGGAAAAAAAUACUAAUGAACCAAGCUAUUAUGUUACGUCUCCUGUUCUGUGUAAUAUUUUAAUGACAUUUCCUCACAUAAGGAUGAAGUGAUUGUAUUUUUAGAGAUAGCAGCACUAAACUCCAGUGCCGCAUCCUCCUCAACUGUAGAGAAAUUUUGAUCACUAUUAGAGUUUUGUAUCCCUGACUCAUCUCUAAGCAUCUCAAGUAUGACAAAUUGUAACAGAAUGAGUGUUAGUAUUACUUCAGCAAAUUGUUGUAUUUAAUAACGUAUGUAAGGUUUCAAAAUUCGUCAAGUUUAUAGCAACUGUUGGCUUCCCACAGAACUUAAAUCAGAUUGUAUAUUUCCAUAUGGCUGAACAAGUAUUUAAAUUAUUAAAGCCUUUUCCAUAAUUCUUUAGUCAAGCUUUUGUUAACAGGACAUGAUAUGCCAUACACUUUAAACAAACAAAUAAACAACAAAAAAAACCCA
rnacentral:lncRNA from 14 species